rnacentral:rRNA from 1 species
GACGAACGCUGGCGGCGUGCUUAACACAUGCAAGUCGAACGGAAAGGCCCUGCUUGCAGGGUACUCGAGUGGCGAACGGGUGAGUAACACGUGGGUGAUCUGCCCUGCACUUCGGGAUAAGCCUGGGAAACUGGGUCUAAUACCGGAUAGGAGCCAUUUUUAGUGUGAUGGUUGGAAAGUUUUUUCGGUGUAGGAUGAGCUCGCGGCCUAUCAGCUUGUUGGUGGGGUAAUGGCCUACCAAGGCGGCGACGGGUAGCCGGCCUGAGAGGGUGGACGGCCACUUUGGGACUGGGAUACGGCCCAGACUCCUACGGGGGGCAGCGGGGGGGAAUAUUGCCAAAUGGGCGCAAGCCUGAUGCAGGGACGCCGCGUGGGGGAUGACGGCCUUCGGGUUGUAAACCCCUUUCGCUAGGGACGAAGCUUUUUGUGGCGGUACCUAAAAAAGAAGCCCCGGCAAACUACGU